rnacentral:snoRNA from 1 species
CUGCAGCCAAUCAGUCCAAUCAGGCUCUCCUCCUUGGGGAGGCCUUGUGCAUAGUGGCUUCAAACUGCAAUGAAUGCAGCCUGUUGCAUGCAUGGGCUGCUCUAAGGGUCUUGGAGGUUGCC